AUGAUGAGUGAAUUAAUAGGGAAACAGCAGAGUCUUAUCCACUUGGUUACUGCUGCCAUCUGCCCUUGGUGCCAGCUACAUCUGGGCCGAUGUCCAAAAGUGAACCUAUCUUUUGGUGAGAUUUUAUGGGUUUCCAGAGGAUCUGCUACUGAGAUUUAUGACUGCAGUUCCCUUCGUUUGAUGGUGGUCAUGGAUUUGAGAAGAAUACCAAAAAGUGCGGUACUCUUCUUGCCAUAUGUCAGGGGACACCUGCUAUCCACAUGAGAAGCUGAUGUUUGCCACUUCUUCAAUGUAAGUUUACAUGCUCUAUCUUUUGGAGGUGAGCCGCUGUGUCCAGUUCAUAAUCAGGAGGAUGGGGGAAAUUAAGAUUUGUUCCAUAUUUUUUGUUGUCAUUUUAUUUUAGGCUCAGAGGGUACAUGUACAUGUUUGUUAAAUAUAUAUUGCAUAAUGGUGAGGUUUGGGUUUCUAGCGAACCAUCACCAAAUAGUGAACAUUGUACUCAAUAGGUAAUUUUUCAACCCUCAGCCCCUUCUAGCCUUUCCUCUAUUGGAAUCCCUAGUGUCUAUUAUUUCCAUUUUUAGGUCGAUGUAUACCCAUUGUUUAGCUCCAACUUAUAAGUGAGAACAUAUUUUUUAUUUGGACUUUGUAUUAGUCUGUUCUCACACUGCUAUAAAGAAAUAACUGAGACUGGGUAAUUUAUGAAGGAAAGAGGAUUAAUUAACUUGCAAUUCCACAGGGCUGGGGAGGCCUCAGAAAACUUACAAUCAUGGUGGAAGAGGUAGCCGCAGAGAAAGAGGAGCAUGUGUGAGGAGGAACUGUCAAACACUUAUAAAGCCAUCAGAUCUCAUGAGAACACUGACUAUCACAAGAAAAGCAUUGAGGAAACUGCCUCCAUGAUCCGAUCACCUCCAACCAGAUCCCUCCCUCGACAUGUGGGAAAAAUGGGGAUUACAAUUAGAGAUGAGAUUUGGGUGGGGACACAGAGUCAAACCGUAUCAUAUUUUAUUUUCUCUUUCUGAGUUAUUUCACUUAGGAUAAUGGUCUCUAGCUCCAUUCAUGUUUCUGUAAAGGCUGUAAUUUUAUUCUUUGCUAUGGCUGCAUAGUAUUCUAUAGUGUAUAUGUACUAUGUUGUCUUUAUUCAGUGUACCAUUGAUGGACAUGUAGGUUGAUUUCAUUACUUUGCUGUUAUGAACAGUGCUGCAAUAAACAUUUGAGUGCAGGGGUCUUUUUGACAAAACUAUUUCUUUUUCUUUGCAUAGACACCCAAUAGUAAGGUUGCUGGGUUGAAUGGUAGUUUUAUUUUUACUUCUUUGAGAAAUCGCCAUACUGUUUUCAAUAGAGAUUGAACUAAUUUAUAGUCCCAUCAACAGUGAAUAUGCAUUCCUUUUACUCCACAUCCGUGCCAACACCUGUUCAACUUUUUAAUAAUAGGCACUCUAACUGAUGUGAGAUGGUAUUUUACUAUGACUUUAAUUAUUUUUCUUUGAUAAUUAGUGAUGCUGAGCAUUUUUUUGUGUAUUUAUUGGCCACUUGUAUGUCUUCUUUUGAGAAACUUCUGAAGGUUCACAUCCUUUGCCUACUUUUUAAUGGGGUUAUUUGGUUUUUUCUUGUUGAAUUGUUU
rnacentral:lncRNA from 1 species